ACACGACUACAUUAGAUACCCCCUGUAGUCCUAGCCGUAAACGAUACUCGCUAGGUGUCGGCCACGGUGCGACCGUUGUCGGUGCCGUAGGGAAGCCGUGAAGCGAGCCACCUGGGAAGUACGGCCGCAAGGCUGAAACUUAAAGGAAUUGGCGGGGGAGCACAACAACGGGUGGAGCUUGCGGUUUAAUUGGAUUCAACGCCGGAAAUCUUACCGGGAUCGACAGCAACAUGAAGGCCAAGCUGAAGACUUUGCCGGAUUAGCUG
rnacentral:rRNA from 1 species